UACGUAGGUGACAAGCGUUGUCCGGAUUUACUGGGCGUAAAGAGCGCGCAGGCGGUCGUUCAAGUCGAGUGUGAAAGCCCCCGGCUCAACUGGGGAGGGUGACUCGAUACUGAUCGACUCGAAGGCAGGAGAGGGUAGUGGAAUUCCCGGUGUAGUGGUGAAAUGCGUAGAUAUCGGGAGGAACACCAGUGGCGAAGGCGACUACCUGGCCUGUUCUUGACGCUGAGGCGCGAAAGCUAGGGGAGCAAACGGG
rnacentral:rRNA from 1 species